UCAUUCCCAAGUGCUAGCAUUAUCAACC
rnacentral:piRNA from 1 species